AGUGAACGCUGGCGGUAGGCCUAACACAUGCGAGUCGAACGGCAGCACAGUAAGAGCUUGCUCUUACGGGUGGCGAGUGGCGGACGGGUGAGGAAUACAUCGGAAUCUACUUUUUCGUGGGGGAUAACGUAGGGAAACUUACGCUAAUACCGCAUACGACCUACGGGUGAAAGCAGGGGAUCUUCGGACCUUGCGCGAUUGAAUGAGCCGAUGUCGGAUUAGCUAGUUGGCGGGGUAAAGGCCCACCAAGGCGACGAUCCGUAGCUGGUCUGAGAGGAUGACCUCCCACUCGGAACCUGAGCAGGGUCCAGGAUCCUACGGGAGGCAGCAGUGGGGAAUAUUGGACAAUGGGCGCAAGCCUGAUCCAGCCAUACCGCGUGGGUGAAGAAGGCCUUCGGGUUGUAAAGCCCUUUUGUUGGGAAAGAAAAGCAGCAGGUUAAUACCCCGCUGUUCUGACGGUACCCAAAGAAUAAGCACCGGCUAACUUCGUG
rnacentral:rRNA from 1 species